rnacentral:rRNA from 1 species
UACAGAGGUCUCAAGCGUUGUUCGGAUUCAUUGGGCGUAAAGGGUGUGUAGGUGGCGCGCUAAGUCGGGUGUGAAAUUUCGGAGCUUAACUCCGAAACUGCAUUCGAUACUGGCGUGCUUGAGGACUGGAGAGGAGACUGGAAUUCAUGGUGUAGCAGUGAAAUGCGUAGAGAUCGGAAAGAACACCAACGGCGAAAGCACUCUGCUGGGCCGACACUGACACUGAGAGACGAAAGCUAGGGGAGCGAAUGGG